CAGCAGUACUGGUCCCUGGAAGGAGUCCAGGAGGUGUUCGGCGACAAGGUGCACGUCGACCGCCUCGACAGCCGCACGCUGGAGCGCGACCACAUCAAGCACUUCGCCUGCUGGGUGUGGGUCUGGGACAUGGCCUUUAUCCCCACCAAGCACACCUACUGGAAGCUCCCCCAGGGCGCAGGCCGCGUCGAGGAGAUGGAGGGCUACUCGCCACCGGAUCGGCCGGUCGCCCUGCCACCUGGCGCCGAGCGCUACGAUCUGCUCAUCCACGUCGAUAGGGUGGAGGACUGGUCCCCCCGCUCGUGGCGCUCCUCGCACUCCGCUCAGAGCGGCCUGCCCCUCCUCCGGCUCCGACCACGACGACAGCCUGCCGCGCGACUACCCCGGCACCUGGAUACUGCACAUGGAGGACAGCCAGGCUGA
rnacentral:rRNA from 1 species